AUGCCUGUGAUGAGACUUAACCGAGUGAUUCGGCUCAGAGAAAGCUGAACAACACUAAUGGUCAGAGGACCCGUUGUGGCCUUAGACAUUCUAUGCCUAUGGUUCUGUAUCCAGAUGUCUGGUUGUGCUGGACUGCUGCCCCUGCUCCCUCCUGAGGAGAGGUCAAAGGACUCGGUUCCUUACGGAGAUGACAUGGACGGAAUACUCUCCUUGGAACAGACACAAUGUAAAAGUUAUGAAAAGUGUCUGGAUUUUUCCAUUUAGUAUUUUCAGGACUGAGGUUGGCGAAGAGUAAGUGGAAGGACAGCGGAGCAGCUCCCUGGCUGAGGAGGGAGCUGAGGAGGGACUGAGUAUGUUGUAGCUCCAGGUGUACAAUCUGAGAUGUUCCCUCCCAUAGUCCUUUGCAAAAGAACAAAACAACAAUAACAACAACAAAAGGCCCGUUGCACUCUGAAUCUGCUUUUCUACAUGUGGGGACAGCCACUAAUGCUUGUGGGGAGCUUGGGACAGGGCUCAGCAGUUAAGAGCCACAAACUGCUCUUUCAGAGGACCCAGGUUUUGUCCCCUCCCGUCCCCCCCUCCCCCCAACCCACAUCAGGCAGCUCACCACCAUCCAUAACUCUUGUCUUUCUGGGAGAUCUGGCACCCUCUGCUGGUUUCCUCUGGCACUGCACUUGAGUACAAACGCCCACACACACUCUUGUACACACGUAGGGACUCACCCACAAGUAUACAUACCAUCUUCCAUUUAACUCUCUUUGAGACAUCAAAGCUUUAAUUCAGCAGGCCCUACAAGAUAAACAUCACCGUCGUCGAUCUGCUGACAGAUGGCGUGUGACAGAAUUCGUAAUUGAAGCAUCCUAGGGUGGAAUGGAUGGCACUUGUGACCUAAUGUUACACUCGCUGAUAUAUGACCUAACACUAGCACUCUGUGUACAUCUCUGGCUAAGCCCAGUGCGUGUGUUAUGUGCCAGCCUCACUGAGAUCAGUGGGAUGUCUAAGGUAAAUGGUUGCCAAAGAUGCAAGAAAUCCCAUCUGGAAGCAACAUAUAAGUUCCACGAAGCUGCCCUGGGUGGGUAGUUAGGCCCAGAAAGGUAUCGAGGAAGGCAGUAUCUCUGCAUCUGUCAUCCAGGUCUGAGAUUACAGUAGCCGGGAGUCACAGCCAUGGCCUGUGAGCGGCAUUUCCGAUACUUAGCACACCAUCUCCUCACUCUGGCCCAGAGCUCUAGGGCAGGCACCUCAUGCCCACAGCUCUCUGCUGCAGCUCCUAUAUGCCCUCGUGCCCAGUUUGCACACCUUCCUGCCCAUAGCUUUCCCACUUCCCAUGCACAUACAAGUCCCAGAGAAAACCAUCAGUGCUAACUUCUGAAGAGCUUCGAGCGUUUGUCAAUAUCCUGUUCCUUUCUGUAGAGAAAGCUGUGGGGGAGGGGGUUUCUUGAGUAAGAGCUGAGUGGGUUUAAAUGCCCCGUGGCAAACAGACUUCUGCUGUUGAAACAGCCUUGCAUCUCACCAAACAGCUCACAGCGUUUCUCUCAUGUUUAUGACAGGUGGUUUGUGUUUGACACGGAGACAAAGGACUUGGUCACCGUCCACACGGAUGGGAAUGAGCAGCUGUCCGUGAUGCGGUAUUCUCCAGGUCAGAAUCCAGCUUUCAAAUUCUCACAAAGAAUACAGUUUUGUACAAGAAACAGGUUGACAAAGCUCCACCAAGGGACUUAACUUAAGCAUGUGGUGUGUAGGGCUCACUAGACAGCGAACCUUUUCGUCACUGUGCAGCUGUGGUUUAACUUUGUAUUACAAAUCCCCCGCCCGCUGUCUAGUCCUCUCUGUUUUUCCAGACAGGGUUUCUCUGUGUAGCCCUGGCUGCCCUGGAACUCACUCUGUAGACCAGGUUGACCUUGAACUCCUAGAGAUUCCCCCUGCCUCCACCUCUCAAGUGCUGGGAUUAUAGGCGUGUAGCCUUACACUCCACUUAUCUUACAGAAAAUCUCAAACACAGAAUUAGACAGGGUGUCAGGGUGAGUCUCCCACCUCAUUACCGCUUGGAAGGACCACUCUGCUACCUUCAUGGCCCUCCAAGGUACAUGCCAUUAGUGCAUUACAAACAUGUAGUUCAGAGGUUCCUGGGACUAGGGAGACGUCUCGAGCCGCCGCGUGGGCCGUGCAGGUGUGAGUCUCGAGGAUCUGUCUCCCAGCCCUUUUGAUGAGUUUAUUCUUCUAGAUUUGUUCCUGUUAUUUUUUUUAGUGUUCGUGUGUGCACCGUGGUGCCUGGGCAUGUGUGGUUUAUGUAUGUAUGUGUGGUUUAUGAGUGUAUAAAUCCCUAGGAUCUUUCUCAUGUGAUGUUAGAUCAUCUGUAAAUAAAAUGUUUGCUGUGUCUUUGGAUCUAGAGGCCUUUAUACCUCUUUCACUGCAUAGCUGGUUCCUCUAGUAAAGUGUGAACAGGGACGGUCAGGCCGACUCUCUUGUUUUGUUCUCAGUGUUUCCUCUUCAGGGACAGAGAUACCAUUUAUCACGAGCAUGUUCUCUACUGUCUGGCUUGGUCUCAGCAUAAGAAGUGUUGGAGCUUGUCAAAUGCUUUUCUACGUCUGUCAAGAUGGGAAAUGUGAAAAGAAAUUGAACCUUGUGUGGUUGUGCACAUCUGUAGUCCCAGCACUCAGGAGGCAGAGGCAGGAGGAACUCUGGGAGCUCAAGCCCAGCUUGUUUUACAUAGGGAGUUCCAGGACAGCCAGGGCUACAUAGCAAGACCCCGUCU
rnacentral:lncRNA from 1 species